rnacentral:rRNA from 1 species
GAUGAACGCUGGCGGCGUGCUUAACACAUGCAAGUCGAACGAUUAACCCACCUUCGGGUGGUUAUAGAGUGGCGAACGGGUGAGUAACACGUGACCAACCUACCUUCUACUUUGGGAUAACUCAAAGAAAUUUGAGCUAAUACCAAAUACUCCGAUACCUUCGCAUGUUGGUAUCGGGAAAGUUCCGGCGGUAGAAGAUGGGGUCGCGGCCUAUUAGAUAGUUGGUGGGGUAACGGCCUACCAAGUCAGCGAUAGGUAGCCGGGUUGAGAGACUGAUCGGCCACAUUGGGACUGAGAUACGGCCCAGACUCCUACGGGAGGCAGCAGUGGGGAAUUUUGCGCAAUGGGCGAAAGCCUGACGCAGCAACGCCGCGUGCGGGAUGACGGCCUUCGGGUUGUAAACCGCUUUCAGUAGUGAAGAACCAUGACGGUAGCUACAGAAGAAGCUCCGGCUAACUACGUGCCAGCCGCCGCCGUAACAC